GAUAGAUGUUCGUCUGCAGCCUCUUGACCUCUUUAUAUUUCCAUGUUUUCCUGACAGCUGGCAAACACAGAGGAGUAUGUGGACGGAGCGCUGGCGGGUCAUCUCGGUGAAGUGCUCAUUAGGUGCAAUAACGUUUUGUACAUCAGAGGUGUAGAAGAGGAGGAGGAGGACGGAGAGAUGAGGGAGUGAUGGACUCGGCCCUGCUGUGUGAUUGUACCUCGUAGUUGAGCUGAUGUGUGUUUGUGUUUUCACCAUGUGAAGCAAGUGAACGCCUGCGGAUUAGUUUUUUCCUCCUUUUUUUUUUUUUUUUUACUGUAUGUAAGGCCAAUUUUAAGUUGUAACUUUGUGAUACCGACACAAUAAAAUGAUUAUUGUUUUCUUUCUUAAA